rnacentral:rRNA from 1 species
UACGUAGGGUGCAAGCGUUGUCCGGAAUUAUUGGGCGUAAAGAGCUCGUAGGCGGUUUGUCACGUCGGCUGUGAAAACCUCAGGCUCAACCUGGGGCGUGCAUCGGGUACGGGCAGACUAGAGUGCGGUAGGGGAGACUGGAAUUCCUGGUGUAGCGGUGAAAUGCGCAGAUAUCAGGAGGAACACCGAUGGCGAAGGCAGGUCUCUGGGCAUUAACUGACGCUGGAGGAGCGAAAAGCAUGGGGAGCGAACAGG